UUCAGCUCAUUCAGGUUCGCAAGUUUUUUUUAAAGAAACAGGAGGGGAAAUCCCCACUGUAGGUUUGCAAGAUUUCACAAAAUAUUGUUUUAUGAACUCUAUAAGUACAUGAGGAGGCAAAUAACUCAUUUUCUCAAUCUGAUUGUAGACAAAGUUUUUGUAUCCUCGUACAUGUGAGAAUUGGAUUUUGAAAUUGAUCGGAAGAGAUUGGAGAAAAUACAAGGCAACACUAAAAAAGAAACUAUUUAACCAAAAUAAGAAAAGAUCUUAUUUGUACAAGCUCUGUCUACAUGAUGUUGAUCAAGACCAAUGGGAUAAUCUAAUAAGAUAUUGGAAGUCUGCGGAAGGAAAGGCCCUUAGUGAGAAGAACAAAAUAAGCUGUGAAAU